rnacentral:rRNA from 1 species
CAGUCGAGGGGCAUCGGGAUUGAAGCUUGCUUCAUUGCCGGCGACCGGCGCACGGGUGCGUAACGCGUAUGUAGCCUACCUAUAACAGGGGCAUAACACUGAGAAAUUGGUACUAAUUCCCCAUAAUAUUCGGAGAGGCAUCUCUCCGGGUUGAAAACUCCGGUGGUUAUAGAUGGACAUGCGUUGUAUUAGCUAGUUGGUGAGGUAACGGCUCACCAAGGCAACGAUACAUAGGGGGACUGAGAGGUUAACCCCCCACACUGGUACUGAGACACGGACCGGACUCCUACGGGAGGCAGCAGUGAGGAAUAUUGGUCAAUGGACGCAAGUCUGAACCAGCCAUGCCGCGUGCAGGAAGACGGCUCUAUGAGUUGUAAACUGCUUUUGUACGAGGGUAAACUCACCUACGUGUAGGUGACUGAAAGUAUCGUACGAAUAAGGAUCGGCUAACUCCGUGCCAGCAGCCGCGGUAAUACGGAGGAUUCAAGCGUUAUCCGGAUUUAUUGGGUUUAAAGGGUGCGUAGGCGGUUUGAUAAGUUAGAGGUGAAAUCCCGGGGCUUAACUCCGGAACUGCCUCUAAUACUGUUAGACUAGAGAGUAGUUGCGGUAGGCGGAAUGUAUGGUGUAGCGGUGAAAUGCUUAGAGAUCAUACAGAACACCGAUUGCGAAGGCAGCUUACCAAACUAUAUCUGACGUUGAGGCACGAAAGCGUGGGGAGCAAACAGGAUUAGAUACCCUGGUAGUCCACGCAGUAAACGAUGAUAACUCGUUGUC